rnacentral:rRNA from 1 species
GGGGCUGAAGUAGGUCCCAAGGGUAUGGCUGUUCGCCAUUUAAAGUGGGACGCGAGCUGGGUUUAGAACGUCGUGAGACAGUUCGGUCCCUAUCUGCCGUGGGCGCUGGAGAACGGAGGGGGGCUGCUCCUAGUACGAGAGGACCGGAGUGGACGCAUCACUGGUGUUCGGGUUGUCAUGCCAAUGGCACUGCCCGGUAGCUAAAUGCGGAAGAGAUAAGUGCUGAAAGCAUCUAAGCACGAAACUUGCCCCGAGAUGAGUUCUCCCUGACUCCUUGAGAGUCCUGAAGGAACGUUGAAGACGACGACGUUGAUAGGCCGGGUGUGUAAGCGCAGCGAUGCGUUGAGCUAACCGGUACUAAUGAACCGUGAGGCUUAACCUUACAACGCCGAAGCUGUU